UGGGGGAUAUUGCACAAUGGGCGAAAGCCUGAUGCAGCGACGCCGCGUGGGGGAUGAAGGCCUUCGGGUUGUAAACUUCUUUUGCCCUGAACAAGGCGCACCAUGGGGUGUGUUGAGUGUAGGGGUUGAUUAGCGCCGGCUAACUACGUGCCAGCAGCCGCGGUAAUACGUAGGGCGCGAGCGUUGUCCGGAAUUAUUGGGCGUAAAGGGCUUGUAGGUGGCUGGUUGCGUCUGUCGUGAAAGCUCAUGGCUUAACUGUGGGUUUGCGGUGGGUACGGGCUGGCUUGAGUGCAGUAGGGGAGGCUGGAAUUCCUGGUGUAGCAGUGGAAUGCGCAGAUAUCAGGAGGAAUACCGGUGGCGAAGGCGGGUCUCUGGGCUGUUACUGACACUGAGGAGCGAAAGCAUGGGGAGCGAACAGG
rnacentral:rRNA from 1 species